rnacentral:rRNA from 1 species
AACAAGGAUUCCCCUAGUAACUGCGAGUGAAGCGGGAAAAGCUCAAAUUUAAAAUCUGGCGGUCUCUGGCUCGUCCAAGUUGUAAUCUAGAGAAGUAAUGCCCGUGCUGGACCGUGUAUAAGUCUCCUGGGAUGGGGCCGUCAUAGAGGGUGAGAAUCCCGUCUUUGACACGGACUACCAGUACAUUGUGGUAUGCUCUCAAAGAGUCGAGUUGUUUGGGAAUGCAGCUCAAAAUGGGUGGUAAAUUCCAUCUAAAGCUAAAUAUUGGCGAGAGACCGAUAGCGAACAAGUACCGUGAGGGAAAGAUGAAAAGAACUUUGGAAAGAGAGUUAAACAGUACGUGAAAUUGCUGAAAGGGAAACGCUUGAAGUCAGUCGCGUUGGCCGGGGAUCAGCCUUGCUUUUGCAUGGUGUACUUUCUGGUUGAUGGGUCAGCAUCAAUUUUGACCGCUGGAAAAAGACCUGGGGAAUGUGGCAGCUUCGGCUGUGUUAUAGCCCCUAGUCGCAUACAGUGGUUGGGAUUGAGGAACUCAGCACGCCGCAAGGCCGGGUUUCGACCACGUUCGUGCUUAGGAUGCUGGCAUAA